AAAAAUAUUGCCAUAUUUAUAACCAGGGCCGAAAAGUUCUAGCUUUUGCUUGGAAUUGCUUAUUUUGCUUAUUCAGGGUUUCCAAGCUUAAUUUCAACGAUCAUGCUUAUUUUGCUUAUUUCAGUGAAUAAAGCUAAGUACGGACGUUUUAAGA